UCGUUUUUUUAAAUUUGUAUCGCCUUGUUUUAUUUCGCGCUGUAACGCGUUCACUUUUAUUUUACAUUUUAUUUCCGUUGUUCUCAUUUCCAAAUAUUUUUUCUUACGCCAAGUAUUGUUUGUUUUAUCUUGAGGUCGCGCUUGCUCCUAAGGCCAGGAGGUGUGUCCGAAAACCUUGAAAACACAUUUUUUAUUCUGAACAUCUCGGCUGGUUAUCUUCAAACACUUUUGAAACAAAAAUGAGACAGUGCUCAACAACGCGAAACCGGUUUUUCAUACAGCCAGUUACCUACGGAGGAAUAAGAUUAAAGGGAGCAAAUCUCAAUAGCUCAGUUUUGGAGGAAUCGAUUUUUACGGAAUCUGGGAUCAACGGUUAUCUCAUCACGCAUUCUCCACUUUGGAAUGGGAUGAAUCAAGGUUAGGGACUGAUAGUACCGUUUAUUCACUAGCGCAAAACCCACGGUCUCCGCGAUACGAGCUUGAAAUAUCAUCGGCGGAGCGGGAUGGAAGGGGUCGACCAGAGACACUAAUUUUAUUUUGAUAAAAACCGCUAGAGGCGCGGUGAGCAAUACAGAAUACAGGGUCGUCGUGUGUUGUUGUCAGUUGUCAUUGUGUAGUGCUGAAAACGCUGCGUCCCGAAACGCUGCGCAAUCCUAAUGGAAUAAUGGCAGAAUACUGUUUUUACUGUAAUUCAGGCUGUCCUUGGAAUAUUAACUUUUGAAAAAAUGUUCUGUAAAGCUGUCGGAAAAAGUGAAAAAGAUGAGUGGUAAGAUAAUUUCUAAAAAUGGUGUGGAAACGUCUUUGGAAAAACGCUCGGUAUUUCGGAUGUCGAAAGAAAUUUUUUGGUGUUUUAAGUCAUUAUCCAAUUUCGUAUUAAUUCACCUGAAUGCGAGAAUAAUAUAGAAAAUAAAGAGGAAGUCCGACCCAUAAA